UAUAAACAGGGCAUUUUGCUGCUGGAGGCCAGGCAACAACAUUGCCUGGCUGCAGGGCUGCUGGUAUCAUCUGGAGCCAAUCCCACCAUGUGAAUACUGGAGCAUAGUUCCCAUAGAAGUUCAUGUGGUGGAAGUCAUGAAAACGGCUAGUAACAGCAAAAGGCACCAGUCGUAAGGGAUCCCAGGGAGCAUCAUAUCCGCUGCAGUGAGAAGAAGAAAAUAUGAUAUAUGGUUCAUUCACAAAAGUAAAGAAACAAAAAUGGAACAGUAGCUCCAAGCCAAACGUUCAGGAGCUCUUGAUGUAGUGCUGCUAAUGGACAUCCACAGACAACUAUUGUGCAAACAUGCCACUAAAGACAUUUCUCAGUUAACAGUUCUAGUUAGUGUGUUUUUAUUUACCUGUGCACAUGUGUAUUUUGCACUAUCCGUGCCACUGUACAGAGCCAUACCGAGAAUAAAUGAUUGCAAAAAAUGUACAUGCCAAAAGAGAAACCUGCUCCAAAGAUCAAAAUCUCUCCUGGGCCAGCAUAUGUUGCCUGAAUAGAAAAUGGUGUCUGGAAAAAAGAAAACCAUUUAUCUUGUUAGUGCAUAUGAAGAGCAUUGUGAUCCUGCCUAUCAAUAGGAAGCAGUUUUCCCCCAUCCCAUAUUCUGAUUUCUCCAAGAAAUAAAACGUUCUCACUUCAACAAUGGUAAAUUUCUCUCUAGCCUGGAUUUCUUCCUCCCCUCCCCUUUUUCAGGACAAAACUGGAGCUGAUCCUUCCUUCCCCCAAAAUGGAGUUUAGAAAAAAAGUGUGCCAGAGGUGGAAGAGAGCUAUUCUAAUAUUACAGCUGAACUCACUUUGUUUAAACCUUUAUAAAGUUGUGUAAAACUUUACUAAGGCAAAACUGAAGAGCUAAGGUAUGCAAAGUUUCGGCAGCUCAGCUUCCUCUGACAUCCUGUUCAAUUAACAUGUCUUCAGUGGUUUAAUGUUGUUUCUUUCCUUGAAUUUCUUUCUUAGCUCCUUACAGCAUAAAAACAGGCAACUCAGUGUUAUCACUGAUCAACACUGCUAUUAUUGCAUUCUUAGUGGAAGAUUUAUAUCUUUGCUGAUUUAAAAGCCAGUUGUAAUUUUCAGUGCAAUCUCAAGUGUACAGUCUAAAUUAUAUUCCAACUUUGUUUCCUUACCUGAAAGUUAUGAUGAACUUUAUGGAGGUAUUGGUAUAGUCUUCGGUGAUGCAAUAGCCUAUGCGUGAAAUACUCCCAAGUAUCUUCAAUCAGCAAACAUCCAAAGACUUGAGCAAUUGCAGAAUACCUAGUAGGAGUUGGAGAGAUUAAAAUGUGAACAAAUAUAUUUGUAUAACACCCAACAACAAUCAAAUAGGACGCCCUGGUUGUAGAUAUGAAAUUGUCACCAGAAGAAAAGUAAAAAAGUAACUUUGCUUCAACCAACAUAUUUAUAAUAUCAUACGCCUCCUGAGCUUUAUACCAGUCUAAUGUUUACAACCCAAUUAACAAAAUCAAAAUGAAGCUAUACCUCUGAUAAGCCAUUAGUUGUCUGAAGGAUGCUGUGGUUUUAUUUCUGAGAUGUGUUCUCUCUGACUGGCCACCUUGUAGGUGUUAUAUUAUUACCAGGAGUAUCAUCGCUUUUGAUUUAAAGGGCGCCUACUUCAAUGUGGCAAUUAAACUUAUUUUGAGUACCUAAGACUUUGCUAGAGACUAGACAUUACUGUUUUGAGUCCUUCUUUAAGAGUCUUAAGUGCCGCACUCUUGUUUUAUACCUCAGACACCAUAUUUGGACUAUUAGUUCCUAAUGGGUCGCUUGCAAUAUCACCUUCCCUCUGUGAUCCAGCCUUUUCAGUUUUGGGGAGAAAUUCCUGCUUCAGCCUUCACAAAAGACAACUCGUGGCACCAGUCUGGUCUUUUUUAAGGCCAGAGUCUAUUGUUUCACUCAAAUUUUGGAAUCUCAGUUUUCAUAAUUUGAAAUUGCUUGCCAGUUCCCAGAGUAUGACUGGUACUCGCUACACAGUCUUUAUAUUAAGGCUGUUGAGUCUGAUUGCAUCAUCAAUCAAAGUCAUUCUCUUUAAACAUCUGAAUAUGAGAGUCUUGCAGCAUGGAGUGGGAGGGUGACAGCAGCAGCAGCAAGACAAGUGCCAUCAAGACAAAGCGUCAUUGCAGAUCAAAUACCAUUGAAAUCAGUCUGUAGUUUCAAGUUUAAGACUGAACAUCUAGCCAGCCAACCUGUAUUGGUCUGGUGAGCAUGCGAUUGCCAGAUACGUGGCCUGUGUUUAAGGCUUCACAAUACAAGGAGUGCCCCACAUCAUAGGUGUGAGUGCACAAUGGAGACCUCAGAAGAAGUCAUUUCUACUAAGUAGCCUUCUUUUGUUUCACUUUGAAAUGGUGAAAUGAUCAAAGUACAACCUUUUUCCAUAGGAAAAGAGUUAAUACAAUAUUCAGAAAUUGUAAAGCAACCUGUUGUAAUCUGCAUUCGUUUUACUCCCACAUAAUAUAAUUAGCUGCUAUUUUAAUUUUAUGAAUUGCAGAUCAUCGCGAUUAGUGAUGCAUAAGUGAAAUAGUAGAUUGUGUAAAUUAAUUUAUAGCUGUCAUAAGGAGAUGUAUUUUGUGAUGUAUCAUCCUUGCUUUUGAUUCCGCUUGUUUAUUUAAACUCUAAUUUGUUGGAUUCAUUGGUAGUUCAGAUUGGCAUAAUGUGCAACAAAACCUCAAAGCCCAAUGAGAGAGGCCAAAAGGAAGAAGCAAUACACAGCUGCCCUGCUGCAAAUUCAAUAGAAACUCAAGAUGACCAGAAUCAUGCUAGACAUAAAAGACACAAAACCUAUGUAACUCAUGCUCUAAAGCAUAAAAAAUAUGGGAAGCAGCAUGAGUGUCCUUUUGAAUCACAAGCAAAGUACAUAUGUAGCAAUAUAGCCUGUGAGUGUAAGCAUUGGCAUCCGGCCUAAAAAUUCCACAUGCAAUGCAAAAAACCUCAGAAUUCACUUUCAACUCUUAAACGUCCCCUAAGAAUAUGUGAAGAGUCAGCCCCGUGAUUGAUUUCAGUUCCGUGCAUGGAACAAAAAGCAGGCCGGAGAGGAUUUAGGACAGUAUUGGAAAACAAGAGCUGCAGAACAUGGAAGUCAGUGGGACUUUUUAACAUGACUAAAGACAGUAGAACUUGGUCUUGUCAUUGCAUUUGAUAUUUUUAGAAAGAUAUAAUACCAUCGAGGCAUGGAGUUCCAGUCGCAUGGUAAAUUGGCAUACUCCACGUAAAAGUACACAGCUAAGGACAGUGGUGUAUGGAGAGUGAAUAUAUGAUAAAAUGUCAUCUUGAAACAUUUCCACUGAUCUUCCCAAGUUUCUGGCUUGUCCUAAAAAAAGAUGAUAAUGAAAAAAUGAUUUACUCAAAAACAUUAUUUUUCUUAAGUACUGAAGUUAGCAGAUGUUCUGCUGGCUUCAAUAUAUACAGUAGGAUGUACAAAAAUUUUUUGAGGGAUAAUGAGAAAAUAAAAGGAUAUAAAGAAUUAAUUAUUAAUUAGAGGGCAGGAAGCUACUGGCUAAGAUGCUCAAGAGGGCUACGUUUUGUUUUAUGAAUCUGAAAGAUAUGCACAUUUAAUUCUAACGACAACAGGACUAAAGAAACACCGUCUUAUGCUUAAUUUUUGCCUAGCUUGUUGUGUUUUUAUACAUGAUAGAAGCAAUAGCAAAUGAGUGCACAUUCUAAUAAAGUUAUAUUUGUUUUCGCUUUAACCUUAAACCAAAUAAUAUGGGCCUAGGCCCCAG